GGUCCGAUGGCUCAGGGGUUAGAGCGUUUUCCUCGGAUAAGUGAGGUCAUGGGUUCGAUCCCCGGCUACUCAUACCA